UUCCGCCUAUUGGGCUUCCUCUCUUCUGAUUGCCAGUGAACGGCCAAUCAUCAACGACCUUCUGUGUACUGAACUACAGGCGUCUGCAAAAUUCCAUACGGUGUGGAACGAAGAAAGUGCUUGUGUUGGAGGUGUAAAAAGCCGUAACAAUAAUUUCUCAUUUUCUUUUUUUUUUUUUCGUUAUGCGAGUGAGCAUAGAUUUUUAUCUUUUACCACGUUUUUGAACUGUUGGUAUAUUGGUAUGCAAGAUGAAACUUAAUUGAAAACAUUUUCUACUGUGUUUCCCAUGCUGGUUCCAGUGUCUUCAGUUGACCCCUAGAAUCCGGGAAUUAGUCACGCACAUCUAAUCUGACUUGAAUCUUUCAGGUUGCGUGGAAGGAUAUUACGAAAAAGACUUAACUUUAGCCGUAGCCUUCCCAAUCCAAGUGAUUUUUGUCUUGCCUGAAAUAGUGAAGGAAAAAAGGUGUCAAAUCAGGCUUCAUCUCCACUCAGUGACAUGGACAAUGAAGAAUACAUUGUUGGGAAAAUUCUCGGGCUGAGGAGAAGGAUGGUGAAGUUGGGCAUGUGCUGAUAGGGAUUGGUGUUUAAAACAAUGGUAAUAAUUGGGAUCCCAAGAAAAUCUUUAUUGUAAUAAUUUGAUUGCAGCAUUUGAAAGCAAAUGUCUAUCGUUGACUAAGAAUCCUGAAAACAAGCUAAGCCAAGAGAAGAAAAUUGUGAAGAAAAAAGAACUAAAGCACAGAUGUCAUUAUGGAUGCCCAGUCUUCCAACAGGAUUUGAUCGAAAUGUAGAGGCGGAGAAAAUUUUAGGAGUGAGCGAUGACGGUGGCGAAACUAUAUAGAUACUUGUAUGGAUGUGUAAAGAAUGAUGAUUGCAGGGCAUAAUUUUCUUUUAUACAAUACUUUUCUAUUUUUAUUGUUAUAAAUUUUGUCUUUUUAGCCGUUGAAUGUAGCUGGAACAGAACACAUUCGAUUGCAGCAUCAGGAUAUCUGGCUUGCCGGACGAUUAAACGUCCCUGUGUGGAUACAGAUAUUGUGUCUCGUUUUUACCCUAAAUUUUUUCUGGGAUAAUAACUUUACUACUAAUACCAUGAAUUAGAUGAAUAGCAAUUGAACAGCUUUUCAGGUUCUAACAAACGGUCAUGAGUAGGUAAUGCUAUUAUGCAGAAUGUGAUUUAGUGCUUUAGCCUUUUGAAAAGAUUGGCGAGUCAAAGGACGCCCUGUUUACCACAGCGUUGAAGGAUUGAUGGAUCUCCUGCCAAAUCGCCACAGGUGGAACAUUUGUAUCGGCGACAAGCACCCACCAGCAGCAGACGAAAUCCAAAGUGUGUGUUCGUGCGCCUGUGACUCGUUUGACAACAUCGUAACUUUUGAGCGAAAAGCGAGUAUUUCGAGAUUAUUUUUGAAAAUGUGGGCAGUUCUUGGUUCGCGUGUGAAUCAACGUAAAGGUAUGUGCAGCAUGUAAUCGCCCAGUUUCCUUCCCGUUUUGCUUUUUUGGUCUUACAAUUUGACAUUUUGACGGUCGUGGAAAUGUUUAAUUAUCUUUUAAUGACACUCCUGUUAAAGCAUAGGUGUAUAGUUGAAUCUCAUUUCAUCUUCUUUUACCCUCUUCAUUAGGUGAAUAGCUGAAUCUCAUUACAUCUUCUUUUACCCUCUUCAUUGUAUGGAAAUUAUGUCGGUAACUAUUUUGCUCUGUGUAUUUGUUAAAACUGCCCCAUAGCAUUUCAAGUGAAAUUUUUAUUUGUUUUUAGGUAAUAGUUUAAAUGUGUAAAAAGUGUUGGUGGUAGGUAAUGAGAGCUAUUCCUUUAUGCACUGGCUUUCCACUUUUAUUGUAAUAAAUGUCUUUCUAGCUGUUGAAAGUAGCUGUAACAGGAUGAUGACAAAUUGCAGCACUAGGAUGUUUGGUUUGCUGGAUGAUAAAAUGUUUCUGUGUGAGGAUCCAGACAUUGUGUCUAGAACUUCGUCUAGAACAAUUUAUUUAUCUUCAUUUAAUAUCCCUAGAUUUCUGGGAUAAUAAAUAUGCUACUAACACUAUGAAUUAGAAGACUAGCAGUUG